UACAGAGGGGGCAAGCGUUGUUCGGAAUUACUGGGCGUAAUGGGCGCGUAGGCGGCCUGUUAAGUCGAACGUGAAAUCCCCGGGCUCAACCCGGGAACUGCGUCCGAUACUGGCAGGCUUGAAUUCGGGAGAGGGAUGCGGAAUUCCAGGUGUAGCGGUGAAAUGCGUAGAUAUCUGGAGGAACACCGGUGGCGAAGGCGGCAUCCUGGACCGAUACUGACGCUGAGGAGCGAAAGCCAGGGGAGCAAACGGG
rnacentral:rRNA from 1 species